ACAAGCAAAAGACAAUGCUGUCGAAAAAAGAAAACGAGCAUUGGAGAUAAUAAGGGAAAAAAUAUCAAAGAAAAGAAAUGAUGGAGCUCAGUCAACAAACAUUGCUCCAGAUCAGUUUGACUUUCCACAAGGACAAAAUGAUUUCUCUCAGACGGUGCCAACUGUAAAUAUUGAUAGUGAGCAAGUCUUACAGACUCAAGGAAGCUCUACACCUUCUGUAAAUGCUGCGAGCAAUACCAGACUUCCUCUUGCAUUGUCUCUUCCAAGUUCAGUUCAGGAAGAGUUGAUGAAGGAUUGCUUCAGCUAUGUCCCUCCACAAGAGGAAACACAACAAACUUCUAAUAAUGAUAGCCCUCAAGAAGCUGGAAAGAAUGGUGUUAUAGUAUCUCUUACGAGUUCUGUAAUUGAAGACUUAUUGAAAGAUGACUAUGUGUAUGAAGUUUCUAAUAAAGA